GGAAUCCUUUUAUAUCCUUCUGGUUGCCAGAUUGUAUAUGACAAUUUCACUAAUUGAUGAAUAAACUUGGUGUUUGACAGAGCAAAUCCUGUCCAGGCUGGAUCUCAAGCUGAGUUUUCCCAAUGGUUAUGCCAUGCGCACAAUGUUGUUAACAGAAGCCUAGGUAAGCUGGUAUUCCCCUGUGAGCGAGUAGAUGCAAGGUGGGGGAAGAUGGAGUGUGAGCAGCGCGCGUGCGAUCUACAAGGAACUACGACAUUUUUUGGCGACAAUAUGCGUUAGAACUAUGUUUGUAAUUUGAAUAUACAGGAAAUUACCAAAUUAUGGAUAUCAGUGUUUAAUUGAUGAGAUAUAUUGUACAUGGAAAUUACCAGAUUUUUGUUUUCCCUAUGCCCUCAGUCCUGUACCAUCACUCUGUAUUGGUAAUUUAUGAUAAAAAAAUAUUUGUAACUUUUUAAAUCACAUGUAAUAAACUGUAUUUUAAGAAAA